CCGCUCCUGCGGCAUAUGGAGAUUCCCAGGCUAGGGGUCCAAUUGGAGCUGUAGCCACCGGCCUACACCAGAGCCACAGCAACGUGGGAUCCGAGCCACAUCUGCAACCUACACCACAGCUCACGGCAACGCCGGAUCGUUAACCCACUGAGCAAGGGCAGGGACCGAACCCGCAACCUUAUGGUUCCUAGUCGAAUUCGUUAACCACUGCGCCACGACGGGAACUCUGGAAAAUAUGGAAUUUUAUAGAGAUCUCUGAGUUCAGUUUAUGAAACAUACAGCUAGCUUCUCUACCAGGUAAGGCAAACACUAAAUGUCUAUUAUGUAUCUGGCAAAGUGCAAGGUACUGGGGCUAGAACCAUGAACUAAACAGACAUGAUCUCUCUCUCCCUGAAAUUUAUUAUCUAGCUGGGAAGACAGAUGACAGAUGUGAAUUUAAAUUGUUACAAAAAGAAAUGUUUCUUCAAACUGUGACAGAAAGAAGCAUUUAUUAACUGAGAGAUGCUAUGAAGGCAAAGCACAGUCCUGUAAGAGUAAGUAAUAGAGGACCUAACCUCCUAGGGUAUUAGGGAAGGGUUUGCUGACGAAAUAACAUCUGAGCUGAAAUUUUUUAAAAGACACUCAGCAGGAAGCCAGGCCAAAGACUGCUGGAGUGCAAGGCCUUAGGUUGACUCUUUUGCAAUCGCCCUUCUCUAUAAUGGGAUUACUCACAGAUCUAUCUUCUUAGAUAUGUUGGGGUAUGAAAUCAUGUUUGGAAAAUACUAAAAACAGCUUCUGUAAUUUAUGAGAAUCAUCCCCUGUGAGGUCAGUCAUACAAGUGAAGUUAACUGCAUUCUACCAUGCUGCUUGGAGCAAUGCGGUACCCAGAAGGGUUGUUGGUCCAAGGAUCAAAAGAAAUGAGUGUUGGUCUCGGGUUCCACUAGCCAGUCAUGUGGCCUUGGACAAGUCUUUUCCCCUUUCUCACCUCGAUCUGUAAAAUUGAGGAAUUCUGCUGACAAUCUCAAUCUAUGAUAUUCUAAUCCCUCACUUUGCCAUUCAAGGUCAUCAUGCCUAAUACAUCACCUGUCUACCUUUCCAGGUUUACUAUUCCUAGUAGACAACUAAAUUAUUCAAUAAAAAUUACCUGACUAUACACCCUGUUCUCUUUUCUCACGCUUUUAAUGCUCAGAAGGUCUCUAAAAGUCAUCUAACUUUGCCUUUUUCCCACAUGAAAACUCAGGCCAUGAUAACUUAAAAAAUUUUUCCAAAGCCACACAUCCCAGAAGUGAUAGAGCUUGGCUCUAAAACAAGGUCUCUGAGUUUCUAGGCCAGCUCUCUUCCCAGGAUACCAACUCCAAUUGCCAGGGUUCCUGCAGCCCCCCUAUGAUGGCCUAUGUAUCUAACUGUCUGUGUCUUAGAGGGGCAAACACAUGGCUAAGAGGUCAAAGAGCCCACCACUGUUUUUACAAUGCCUAUUUAAUCUUUAAUACAUUUAAAAUAAUUGAAAAAAUUUCAAAAAGAGUAUGUCACCACAUGUGAAAAUUAAAUAUUCAAAUUUCAGUGUCAGUAAAUAAUGUUUGAUGGACCACAGCAUGUUCAUUCAUUUAAGGAUUGUCAAGGGCGGCUUUCAUGCUCCAACUGCAGUGUUGAGUAAUUGUGACAGACCUGUGGUCCCUAAAGCCCCAAAUCUUUACUAUGCGGUCCUUUAAAAAACAGUUUUGUGACCUUUGGUAUAUGUCAUUAUGCAUGUCCUUAUCUUCCAGCUCUCCAUGGUGAUCUGCCAGUGAGCAUGUCCAUAGGCAGAAAUGGCACUCUCUCACUGGCCAUCUCUCAAGCAGUAAGGGCCAGACCUUAUUGAGCACUCAAUAAAGUUCCAAGUGUUUUACCAAUAUUAAUGUACUAUUCUUCAAUAACCUCAUAAGGCUCUUUACUAUUACUUUCCCCAUUUAAUAGAUGAAGAAAAGAAGGCACGGAGAAGCUAAGGUUCUCGCACAAUGUUAAAUAUACCAUUUGUUGGACUCUAACAAAUAUCUAUCAUCACUAACAUGACAUGCUUGCUGACUUUAGAGAAUUCUAAUCUGAGUAUAGUAGGGGCCUUCAUUGUAUUCCUCAACAUCCUCAAUCUAGAAGCAAAAGUCAUAAUUCUCUUUCCGCCUUAGGAAAUCAUUGCUAGACAUCCAGCGACUCAUGUGGCCAGAAAACACAGGCACAUUUCAAGAGGAUUUCUAUAUUAUCAAAGGAAAAAGGGUGAGGUAACUUUUGCUGAAAUGACUUCAAAGUAAUAGACCUGGAUUCAACAAUGUCCCACUUCACUAAGGCAUUAACUGUGCCCAACACCAAGUCACAAAUUUCAGCUCUAGGGGGCUCACAUCCCCCAACAUUUGAAAGGUAGAUGUUUUUAAAAGAGUGACCUGCAACUGCUGAGGGGCAUCUGACAGAUGACUGAGCAUCUCUCCAAACUCUAUCCUUUAGCCCCUGGCUGAUGCCACUCACUUUGGGAGCUGUACUAUGGUGCACAGAGGAAGCUGGGGUUGGCACGCAGAGUAAGCAGACCGAUUCUCUAGACCUGAUGCUAGGACUGGAUGCUAUAUAUGGAUCAGAGCAGAGCUAAAGGAGGCUCUGGGUCCUAUGAUUGAGGGGGAAGCAGAAGUGAGGAACUGGAGAAGCUCAAAGGAGAAAGCAUGAGAGCCAUUCGAUGAUACAGAAUGAAAGAAAAACCGCCUGUGUUGGUAUAGAAGACAUAACCAUCAAAUUUAAGGCAGGAAUGGGUGGGCAGAUGGUCUACUCUUUGCCUCACCUUCCCGACUGAUACAGCUUCUCUCCUUCAAGGUGUGCUGGAACUUCAUCAUCUUUUUGCUUUCCUGUGUGAAACACACAUGCACAAUGGCUUAUGCUAUCAUGUUCCAGAUCCACAGUUCCAGUGGCAUGAUCCUGACUGGGACCCACAGCUGGUCUGAAGGAAAUGGCCCUAACCUUGCUCCAGGAUGGUCCUUAGUUGGUUACAAUAAAUAGGGAGGCUUCAUUUAUUUUCAAAGUGCUUUUCACUCUUUGAGAACAAACUAAAAUGCUGUCUUCUCCAUGAACCCUUUUCCAGUGUUCUCUUCUCCUUUUCAACUCCACAGCAUUGGGCUCAGUUGCAGCCACCCCACUCAGCCCAGUAUUUUAGUGUUCUAGACCAUGGCCUCCCUAAGAACCAGGAACACAGUGCCAAGAGCAUAGCUUUGGAAUAGCCUCAAAAACUGGUGCCAUCACCUAUUCCCUCUUAAACAAGUUAUUUAAGCCCUAGACUUCAUCUUUAAACUGGGACCAAGAUGCUUCCUUGCAAGGGCACUUCUGAGCAUCAAAAGAGACAACAUGUGCAGAGUACUUCAAUUGAUGUCUGGAACAUAAUGGGUGUUAAAUAAAUGUCAAGAAACUCCUCUUCAUCAUCUGCAUUCUCUGAAAAGCCCAAGUAACUUGCUGAAUCACCCUCUUGUCUUCUUGACUUCAUUUCACACGGGAUUCAACCAGGAAAUUUCUAAUUAGUCUGACUUCACAUGAAAUGACAUUGCCAGAGUGAUAACUUUUUCUCUUUUCUGAAAAAUUAAGGUGGAGUUGAAUAUUUACAUUGAUGUUUCUAUGUUGAUUACACAGGCAAAAAAAAAAAAAAAAAAAAAAAAAAAACAUUUGAGAAGCCAUUCAAGAUUUGAAGGAUAUCAUUUCACAGUAGGGGGCAUAAUUCACCCAUUUCUCAGAAGAUUUAAAUAGGCUAAAUUUUCAAGAAAGAUCAAACUUGUGUUAACUUUGCUGCCCCAGAAGUAAAAUGUCAGGGUGGCAGUUUACCUUGACCUCUGUCUGGCUGCACUCUACCCAGACAGAGUAGAGUGAGACUGCUUCAAGUAGCCUAGUUCCCAGGCACUUCCCCACCAGAAGGGCCCCUCUGGGGACACAAACUGGACAGUAACCCAGUUUCAAACUUCUUUCACUUCCUCUGCAUCUUCCUGUGUUCCAGGCCCUUGGGGCUUUUCUAUCUGCCAGUUGAUCUGAUAAACCAAUUCAAGUUAAAAAAUGAACAGAUGCUAAUGGUUUGUGAGAAUGAAUGGUAGCAAUUUCCUAGGCAGCAUCAUUGCCUUCUAUUAAGGAUCUACUAGAUAGAAUCACUUUAUACAAAAUGAGUAUCUCUAAUGGUGAGAAUUUCUGAUCCUAUAUUGGCCAUGGAUAAACACCUGGAGUCCAGGGAUGUUUUGUGCUUCUCAAAUCACUUUCUAGACAGCUGCCUAUAACAUACUUGCCCUUGAUCACCAGCACGUUUCGCUCACUACAGCAGACAGUUAGGACUUUCUCCUCCUCUUCCUCCUGACAUUGGCUAGAAAGUUGCAGGUAAAGAGCAAAUGGGAUUCUUGUGAACCUUGGUCUGUCUGUUACUAUUGCCUCUUGGGUGUUCAGAUCAAAGGACAAUCACAGAUGGAGACAUCAGACACUUAGGGUUCAAUACUGAAUUGCCAGCAAAGACAGCCUACAAAAAACACUUGAGGCAGCAAGAACUGUAAGCAGUUGUCUUCCACAUCGAGUCAACACACUAGAAAAAGGCGCCUGAUCUCAUUUGUAUUCUCAACUGAUGAAAACAUGCCAGUAAGAGUAGUUUACCCUAGGAGUCUCCAGUUCAGAAAAUAAGCUGCUUGACUUACAAACUCUACUGAGAACCUAAACAUUAAUUAGUUGAAGUCUUUAAAUAUAUUGUAUAAAAUAUCCUCUGUGAUGUGCGUAUGUUGUGGGGGGCGGGUGCAUGAGAGGCUGAGGAGGAAGGGAGGCAAGAACAGAAAGCACCACAGAGAAAUAAAGACACAUUUAUAUACACAGAGGUAUCUUCUGGAAGAGAAAGACAUAAAACCGAAAAUAAGCCCCCUGCACUUCAUGAUGUACCACUGGACUAGCCCCGAGUUCAAAUCAAAAUCUCAGAGGCAAGACCCUAAAAGCUCACCUUCCCAGAACCUAGUCCAUCUUGCUGGAUCUGAGAACAUCUGACAUUGACUUCCACUAAAUCUCAAGGGCAUCUCCAAGGGAUAGACAUUCCUUUGUUCGGAGAGAAAAUUGGAAACUGCUGGUUUAGCAACCUACUGGCGUCAUUAGCCCCAGUUACCAAUGAAAAUUAGAACCUAAGGGAUAGGCAGCUGAGUGAGGCCGGUUCUGGAAUCUAAAGUCAAGAAUAUUUGCCACAAGAGGGAGCAGGAGAAUUUAAUCAGAUGGGAGAUUAUUUAGUAGAGGUUCUGAUGAGGGGGUCUGACCAUGAGGUAUGGACGAUAUUGGAAGACAUUCUGACAAGGUACGUUUAUCCCUUAGAGGACGAAAAGAGGAUGGAAGGAUCAGGAAGAAGAGAGAUUGAGUCCAAGUUCUCAGCAAAUGUAAAGAAAUGAUUUAAUUUUUUAGUGAAAAGCAACAUACAUACACAUUGCAAAAAUAUCAAACAUGCAAGAUACGUGCUCUACCGUGUUCAUUUAAUUGUGCAUUUCUUUUUCCAGAUUUAAUUUCUAUUUCAAUUUGGAUCUUGUUUAUUCCUAUGCUGAUGGGGAAGACCGGAGACUGCUUGCUUCUUACCUACAUGCGUUUCUCCCUCUACCUGAAGGCAUCAUGGAGAAAGGGCUUCUGUUACUGAAUUACAACAUGAAAAUCAGAUGGUACAGUCCUAAAAUGCCUUUACUUUGGGAGAAACCCAUCCAUAAGCUAAAUGCACGCUUUAUACUUGCUUUAAAGGGGGAAUGCAACUUCAUUGGAUCUACAGAGCAUUUAUUUUGUCGAAGAAACAGAUUAAGUACUGAGAAGGAACCAUGCGUUUUACUUUGCAAGAUAAAUAAGUCUAUUUUUGUGUGAUUAAAAAAACAUGUUAAAUAUAGCUUGCUAACAAAAUGCUGAAGCCCUCUUGGAUUUUUUUUCCCCAAAACAUAGUAAGUUUGAAAGAGCAAUUAAUGUAAUUCCUGCAAAACAGUCUUGCAGGUGUUACUGAUGACACUUCACCUUCCUUUUGUCAUUUCAUUUGGAGUUAGAGCACUACCAGGGCUAUACACUUUUCUUCCUUUUCAUGGAAAGUCAACAAAAGGGUUAUUAUCUAGUUCUUAAUCUUAAUCUGAAAUGAUACUGUUAGAAACCAUCACAUAUCAAAGAUAAAGUAAACAGAAAGAUAGAUGGUAGAUAGGUAGAUAGAUACAAAGACAGAAAUAAGGCACAGUCUGCAU
rnacentral:lncRNA from 1 species